rnacentral:rRNA from 1 species
GACGAACGCUGGCGGCGUGCUUAACACAUGCAAGUCGAACGAAGUGGCGAACGGGUGAGUAACGCGUAAUCAACCUGCCCUUCAGAGGGGGACAACAGUUGGAAACGACUGCUAAUACCGCAUAUUGAAGGCGGGGAUUGCGUCUGCUUAGUUAGUUGGAGGGGUAACGGCCCACCAAGGCGAGGAUCAGUAGCCGGUCUGAGGGUAUGAACGGCCACAUUGGGACUGAGACACGGCCCAAACUCCUACGGGAGGCAGCAGUGGGGAAUCUUCCGCAAUGGACGAAAGUCUGACGGAGCAACGCCGCGUGAGUGAUGACGGCCUUCGGGUUGUAAAGCUCUGUUAAUCGGGACGCGGUACCGGAAUAGAAAGCCACGGCUAACUACGUGCCAGCAGCCGCGGUAAUAC